UAUUAUGCAAAUAUUCACAAU
rnacentral:miRNA from 1 species